rnacentral:rRNA from 1 species
UACGUAGGGGGCAAGCGUUGUCCGGAUUCAUUGGGCGUAAAGAGCGUGUAGGCGGCCAGGUAGGUCGGUUGUGAAAACUGGAGGCUCAACCUUCAGAGGUCGACCGAAACCAUCUGGCUGGAGUCCGGGAGAGGAGAGUGGAAUUCCUGGUGUAGCGGUGAAAUGCGCAGAUAUCAGGAAGAACACCCGUGGCGAAAGCGGCUCUCUGGAACGGUACUGACGCUGAGACGCGAAAGCGUGGGGAGCGAACAGG